AUGUUUCAAAGGUAUCAAAUUCUCCCAAAGAUGUACAAGGCACAUUUGAUUGGUUAUGUCAUACUGGCUGCUGCUGGAUACAUUGUUGAUGGUAAAAUGGAAUGUCUCCAAAACAUGCAGCAUGUGGCAUAUAAUUCAAUCAUGCCAGAACAUAUGAUGCAUCUUUCACAGAGCAAUAGUUCUAAAUGUGAGAUGAAAAAGAAGAACCGGGUAUGCCCUUAA
rnacentral:lncRNA from 1 species